GUUGGUGGACACGUGGAGAGUGGCGCACUCAAAGAGGAAAGGGAAUCUUCUCGCUCCUUCCCACAAAGCUUUCCUUAUGCUGCUCAUCUGUCCAGCUAUUGCUUCAUGUUCUUCAAUAUCCUUCAUAAUGAACUGGGAAUGUGGUACAUUUAGAAAGAAAGUGGAUGUGUUUGAGUUUCUUGUACCAACGCUUAUUGGCUCACACUCACCGAAGCUAUAAUGGACCCAGCACACAGCAUGCCAGUCUGAGACCACUACCACCCCUGGCCUGAGAAAGAAGCUCUUUCGCCUAUUCCCAGAAGUGAGAUGUAUCAGAAAGGAAUAAAAUCAUGUGUACUCCUAUCCAGGAUGGGAGGAAAAUCUUUCUACCUCCUAAAACUGGAUGAUUAAGGUUUUGUGCUCUAAGAGCCAACGUCUCCUUAUGAUGGUUGAUCAAGCUUUUAUGGAUGAAUCAUCAAGCUCAAUUAAGCAACAUCAAAAAGACUCUGAAUCUUCCUCUGUGGGCACACCUCUCUGAUCACAACUGGGAAACGUUCUCUGCUUUUAAGUGUUCAAGUGAUAAGAUUGGACCUGUCCGGAUAAUCCAAAUAAUCUCCCCAUCUCCAGGGGAAAAUGAAUGAACAAGAGUGAAGAAUAUCAUCGUGGAUUAAUCUCUCAAAGAAGCAGUCUUCCAAGCAAUUUACAGAAGACUACAUUCUGCUGCCUCUCUUAGUCGGCCUGGACUGUCAUAACAACACACCAUAGAUUGAGUGGCUUAAACAACACACCAUUCUGUAGGCUGGGAAGUCCAAAUUGGAGGUGCUGGCAAAUUCAGUUCUAGUCUUCCUUGAAUGACACAGCUGAACACAAGCCUUGACCAACUGUGGGUGAGGGCUGCUAUAAAGUUGACAAGCACAUGGGAGAAGAGAAACUGCUGAGUAUAUGUCAUGGAGAGACCACCCAUAAUGAGUAAAAUCUGCUGAUGAAGAGAGGCCAGCCGGUACCUGGAGCUCUCUUUGAUGCCAAGGAAAUAAAUAUGCUAAUUCUGUGCUUUGAAGAAUGUACUGGGUAAGGCCCAUUACUUCACAGAUUUCAGUGGAUACCAGGCUCAGGAUUGACUAUUGAUUUGAUUGAUUGUAGUCUACAGAGCUCUCCAGGAGUGAGUUUUGGCGGUGCCAUGUUUAUUGUUUAAGAUCA